CCAUUCAAACAUCGAAAAGACCCAAGCCAUUCGUUGACGCUUAUUCCGGAAAUACGAAGUCGUACGAGUUUGGCAAUUGACAACUAUUCUCCAAAAUGGCUUACAGAGGGGGAUCUGAUUGCAGAAUUUACGUCGGCAACCUACCACCAGAUGUUAGGCAAAGAGACAUCGAAGAUCUAUUUUCAAAAUACGGAAAUGUUCGCUACAUUGAGUUAAAAACUAGACGUGGUCCUCCAUUUUCCUUUGUAGAAUUUGAAGAUCCCAGGGAUGCUGAAGAUGCAGUGAGGAAGAGGGAUGGUUACAACUAUGAUGGCUACACAUUGAGGGUCGAGUUCCCUCGAGGAGCUAGGGGCCCCCCAAGUUUUGGAGGAGGUGGCGGUGGCGACAGAGGAAGUUUUGGUGGUCGUGGCGGAGGAGGCGGCGGCGGUGGAGGAGGCAGAGGCCCACCAUCCAGGAGAUCAGAGUUCAGGGUCCUUGUUUCAGGGCUUCCUUCGUCUGGCAGCUGGCAAGAUUUGAAGGACCACAUGAGGGAGGCAGGUGAUGUGUGUUACGCCGAUACUUACAAGGAUGGCACUGGCGUGGUCGAGUUCCUACGAAGAGAAGACAUGAAUUAUGCCGUACAAAACCUUGACGACUCAAAGUUCCGGUCCCACGAGGGCGAAGUAACAUACAUUCGAGUGAAGGAGAACAACAGCAGUGGUGGCGGCAGCAGCAGUCGAAGCAAGUACUCCCGGAGCCGCAGCCGAAGUUUCAGCCGCAGUCCUCGCAGGCGAAGGUCGCCAGCAAGAGGGUCACCAGAUUACUCAUCUGUACAGCGAAGGAGGCGAUCACGGUCCCGAUCCUGAUGACCCCGGGUCCCUGAUGUUGUAUCAUCGCUGGAAUCACAAACUGGGUGUGGUUGUCGUGUCAUUUCAUGAAAAUCAUAUUAUUAUUUUUUCGAUCAUAAUUUUGAGAAUGUGUUACAGAUACUGCUAUCGAGUUUAAAAAAAUGCAAUCAUCACUUAUUGUUGUAUUUUAGUGUGAUCUCAGAGCAUUUCUUCAAACUAGGCGUGGUCAAACUAGGCGUGGUCAAACUAGGCGUGGUCAAAAAUACAUUUCAACCUGGACAUACAACACUAUAUCUGUUGAGAACCGCCCUUUAAGACAUUAGGCUGAAUUUAUGAUGGCCCAUUUAUAUUUUGUCUCGUAAAAAAGGAAAUCCAUCUAAUUUAGUCAAGCGUGGUUACUGUUCUAUAUGUAUUUCUGGUUUCAGCUAUAUAAUAAAGGUUUUGAAAGAAAUGUUUGGUAGUGUAAAAUACGUUUUUACAAAGCUUAUACACUUGUAUUAAGAAUGCUUGUUCUAAGAUUCGGCCAGAAACACUUUUAAUGACAUUCAACUUGAGUCGAAGUCAAAUUUGAGAAAAUAUAUUCCCGUGUCUAAAACUAGCUUUGUAUAGUGCCAUGUUUUCCCUUGGAUUAUGUUCUUUGCAUUUAGUGCAUGCAAAAGAAAACAAGCAAAUGUAAUGGCUUUGUGGUCAAGUUUGCAAUGCUGUUGACUAUAUUAACCCUUUCAUCCCUAGGUCACUUAAGUAAACUCUACCCUGCAUUGAUACGGAUGAGUCCAUUAUGGUCUACAGUGAUGAAAGGGUUUAUUUAACAGUGUUGCUCAAAAUUUAUACCCUUCAAAUUUAGACCUCAAAGUUAAAGCACUAUACUCUGGAUUGAAAAAUUUCAAAAGAUCGGUGUCAUUGCUCUCGCAUUAAGGAGGAGUGCCUUAUGAAAUGGAAGAUUUCAAAAGAGACUGCUUCUUGUAACAUCAUGUUUCAAUAACAAUCAUUUCUUACGCAGCCAUGGAUAAACAGUCCCGCUGUCAAUCAUUUGGGCAAGGGCCGUCCAUAGUGGUUCUGUCCAAUGAGGGCUGUGGAUCCUAGAGUGGGUCGCUUCCAAUUGGAUAUGAUUGACGCAGGGAGUGACUGUAUCUACUCCAGACAUCCAUUUCAUUGGAGGUGAUAUUGGUUUUUGAAGUUGGAAGGAGUGGGAUAAGAUAAUGGAAUGGAUGGAUUUAGGAUAGGGAAAUUGGAUAAAAGAUGGAUUUUGGACCGAAUGGAGAUAGGAGGAAAAUAAAAUUAGGAUUUUUUUCCUUCAGUAUUUCGAAAAUUGUUUGGAAAAAGAGGAUAUAGGACCGAAUGGAGAGUAGAGGAGAAAAGUUUUUUAAAGGAUUUUUCUCCUUGAAAUUUGGAAAUAAUUUGGAAAAUUGGAAAUAGGACCGAAUGGAGAUUGGAGGGAAAUGAAGGAUUUUUCUCCAUAAUUUGGAAAAUUUGGGAAAUUUGGAUAAUAAAUGGGACAGAUUGGAGGAAGGAUGUCCCCCUUUUAUUUUUUUGGAAAUAGUUUGAUCAGUUGAAAUAGAGGAUAUGGAUUUUGGACCGGAUGGAGAUUUGAGGAAAAAUUCUGUAUGACAUAUUUUUUCUGAAAUUUUGGAUAAAGUUCUGGAAAUAUGAAGUAAAAUGGAUAUGGGAGGGACCGAAUGGAGAUUGGAGGAGCUAGUUAAGGACAAAAUUUAUAUUUGGAAAUGUAUGGAUUUUGGACCGAAUGGAGUUUUGAGGAUUUUGUUCUUCAAAAUUUGGAGAAUCGUGGAUAAAGGAACCGAAUGGAGAUCAGCAUUUGGAGGAAAAGAUUUUUUGAAAAAAUUAUUUUAGCUUACUUUGCAACAUUCUUUACAAUGUUAUUUUGAUAUGAAGAAAGGGUAGACAUGGAAAGAAGAUUGGAGGAAAAGAUUUGCUGGAUGGUAUUUUGAGGAAAAGAUUUGAUGGCAAACCAGAAUUGUAUUUGAGAAAAUAUGUUCGAUUGUACAUGUAUUUGGAUAUCAUCAGAUGAAAAAAAUCAGUCUGAACAUUAGGAAGAAUAGUUCAAAAUUGUUUCAACAAUGAUGUUUCUUUUUGUUCGUGAAGGUUAUACGUAAAAAGGUUAAUCUAGAUUAAAGAAUGAGGGCUGGGACCAAAUGGAUGAUGGAAAGUCGAAGAGUAAGGAGAUUGACACCUGAUAAUAUUUCUUCUUCAACGGUAAACAUUAAACUCAAGAUAUUAUUGGGUGUAAAUUAGGGCCCAUACAUCCAUUCUUACAGUUGUUUUACUUAUGAAUGCUCAAGAUUUUAAACUUGUUGUUCCGAUAUAUAUAUGAAUUGGGGAAAAUUUAGAAUUGAAGAGAAACAGUCAAUUUAACAAUUUAUGCAUAGAACAAUUGUUUAAAAUAUUUUGUCACGGAGCUUCUUUUUUUUUUUAUCCCAAAGGACAAUUUCCCACAGGCGAUAUGUUGACCGUGUUUUUAUAUAUAUGUAGCUAUUUUUAUUCAGAAAACUUUUUUUUUUUUAUUGUAAAAACUCAUGUACCCAGGAUUUUAGAAAAUGUGGAAAUAUAUUUCUCCCUGAGGAACAACAGAUGUGACAGUGACCGUACAUGGAUUCAGGGCUAAAUUGAACACGGACUAUAUGGAAACCCACUGGAUUGAUUGAAGGGGGAAAAGGACUAGUUCAAAUUGAUCAGGAAAAGUGAAAAAAUGACUUAUUUGGAAACAUGGAUCAUCCGACACGUUUUUUUUUCAUACAUAGUUUUAAUGUACAUUUUCAAGAAAUGUGUAAAAGACUUUUUAAAAAAGUUAUCUAGGUUAUCUUGAAAAUGUCAAGAUUCAUUUAUCAUUCACAAUUCACAUUUUAACAUUGUCCAUAUUUUAAUUGUCUUUUACUUCAUUGUUUUUUUUUCUUUUCAUUUGCUUCAUGGUAUAGAAUAAAGAGUAUUUUGUUGA
rnacentral:misc_RNA from 1 species